GAUGAACGCUGGCGGCGUGCCUAAUACAUGCAAGUAGAACGCUGAAGCUUGGUGCUUGCACCGAGCGGAUGAGUUGUGAACGGGUGAGUAACGCGUAGGUAACCUGCCUCUUAGCGGGGGAUAACUAUUGGAAACGAUAGCUAAUACCGCAUAAAAGUCGACAUUGCAUGAUGUUGACUUGAAAGGUGCAAUUGCAUCACUAAGAGAUGGACCUGCGUUGUAUUAGCUAGUUGGUGAGGUAACGGCUCACCAAGGCAACGAUACAUAGCCGACCUGAGAGGGUGAUCGGCCACACUGGGACUGAGACACGGCCCAGACUCCUACGGGAGGCAGCAGUAGGGAAUCUUCGGCAAUGGGGGCAACCCUGACCGAGCAACGCCGCGUGAGUGAAGAAGGUUUUCGGAUCGUAAAGCUCUGUUGUAAGAGAAGAACGAGUGUGAGAGUGGAAAGUUCACACUGUGACGGUAACUUACCAGAAAGGGACGGCUAACUACGUGCCAGCAGCCGCGGUAAUACGUAGGUCCCGAGCGUUAUCCGGAUUUAUUGGGCGUAAAGCGAGCGCAGGCGGUUAGAUAAGUCUGAAGUUAAAGGCUGUGGCUUAACCAUAGUACGCUUUGGAAACUGUUUAACUUGAGUGCAGAAGGGGAGAGUGGAAUUCCAUGUGUAGCGGUGAAAUGCGUAGAUAUAUGGAGGAACACCGGUGGCGAAAGCGGCUCUCUGGUCUGUAACUGACGCUGAGGCUCGAAAGCGUGGGGAGCAAACAGG
rnacentral:rRNA from 1 species